rnacentral:lncRNA from 1 species
UUUGGCAUGGGACCCAGAGCCUCCAAAGAUUCUGAUGUAAGUGAUUCACCAUCACAAGGGGGCGCUGCUCUUCUAAAGCAAGACGGGAAUGGAUCCUGGGAACUACGGGGCACAUAACUAACUAGCCCACCAGAGGCUGAUGAAAGGAGGACAAGGUUAGGAAAAAGAGCCAUCCGGAGGAUUAGGGACAGGAAAUGAGAAAAAGACAAAAUCCAGAGUGUGGGAAAGAGAGAAAGAAUGUCCCUCUGAAUCCGUGAUGCAUAUUCACCAGGGACACUGGGGCCACUCAGCUGGCUGGUGUCUGUGGUUUAGCCAGAAUUCUCAGGGUCUUUGUUAGGAAAACUUGAUGACUCUCUUAAGCAAGCACAAGCCACAGAAAGCAAACUUCCCUAGAGCCUUGAGUGUGAAUAGUAAAUACCAGCUGUGGAGUAUUGCUUAUCUUAAGGGGCUGAGCUAGAUGAACUCUUGGGCUGUGAAAGGGAGACUGUGUAGAGAAGACGCGCUAGCUUGACACUGUCUUUGGUAACUUCCCUGGUUUUGGCAGCCCUGUCUGGCUUCACCCCUGUACCUCGCACCCACCAGACCGGCGUCUCCAGAGCAGCGUCCAGCUGGCUACGCUAGAAGGCUGGGGUGGUCCAGCCACUGGGAAGACUGAGCGUGGAUACUCACCAGCAACUUUUGCCUUGUGAUCUGUGGACCUUCUCCUUUCCUGACUGCAUCAAGGUGGUUUUCUCUACUAAACUGGAUUUAGGCCACCUAUCGAUUCCCUGGGACUUGUUGAAUCUCACCCUAGAACCACGUGGUUCUUCUACAGCUUCUGUCACUACUCUCCUCGGGGAAAAUGAACCCUGCUUCUGACAUCUCCUUCAACUUCCCAGGCCUUGGGGAUGCAAAGGCAAGCCUAGCUCAGGAAAAAUAUCUACGGGGAAGUGCGAGCAG